rnacentral:rRNA from 1 species
UGGUAUGUACUAGCCUGCCGAUUCCUCCUUCUUGUAGAACCGUAAUGCCAUUAAUUUGGUGUUGCGGGGAAACAGGACUGUUACUUUGAAAAAAUUAGAGUGUUUAAAGCAGGCUAGCGCCUGAAUACAUUAGCAUGGAAUAAUGAAAUAGGACGUUCGAACCUAUUUUGUUGGUUUCUAGGAUUGACGUAAUGAUUAAUAGGGAUAGUUGGGGGCAUUAGUAUUCAAUUGUCAGAGGUGAAAUUCUUGGAUUUAUUGAAGACUGACUACUGCGAAAGCAUUUGCCAAGGAUGUUUUCAUUAGUCAAGAACGAAAGUUAGGGGAUCGAAGACGAUCAGAUACCGUCGUAGUCUUAACCAUAAACUAUGCCGACUGGGGAUCGGAUGAUGUUU